CUUAACUCUUGUUUAAAUUAGCCUAUGGUAAAAUUGGUUUCAUUAUGUUAUUUUGCUUGAAGUCACAGUUUCCAAGAACCUAUCAAUGACAUUAUGUGAGGAUUUACUGGACAUAAUCUCAGCAGGGCCAAAUCUCCUAAACUCCACUCAAAUUUUCUGACUCUGUGAGUUUUGCAGAUUGUCUGUGAAUUUUGUGGUGAAUAUAUAUAUCUGCCUCCUCUCUCCCCCAUUAUUAAUUGGUAUCAGGGUUUUCCUUGGAAACAAUAAAGAUGCCUUGUAAAUAAUAAACACUCUGAUUUGAGAUCUUGAAAUAAGCACAAUAUUAUGGAAAAUUUUGUGUCUUCAGUAGUAUAAAAUUAAGAGGAAAGAUAGUGUCUUUGAUUUUCACCAUUACUUUAUUUUAUAUGUGUGUGUGUGUUAAAGUUAAUUAUAAACUAAUAUUAAUUUUCUGUAAAUAAUAUGUAGGCCUAUACACAUAGAUGACUACAUGUUUUUACUAUACACGUUAAUACAGCAGCUAUGUGUAUGAACGAUUGAGUGCAUGUGUGUGUAUUUUUGUAUUGCUGUUGGAAUUUUCAAAUAUUUUAUGGCAGAAAUGGCUAAUUAGCUUAGCUUAAGUUUUGUACACUUCUUACUUUUUAAAAAUAGUUUACUUGCUCAUAAUUAUUUGAAAUUUUUCAAGUCAUUUUACACCAGUACUCUCAUUCUGAUUCCCUCAACAACCCUGCGAGGUAAGAAGAUGUAGCAGUUAUGGUUUUCUCCUCCUAUAAUACCGGGAACUCUAAUGUUAUUCACAGCAGGAAUAUGUUUAAAAAUUUUAUUUCCCAGCCUCCUUUGAAGCUUGAAGAGGCCACGUGAUAUGAAUAUGGUCUUGUUGCCAAUUACUUGCAAGUGGAAGUUGGCUGGGGAUUUCUAAUAUAGGCUUGCCCCAUUUUCCUAGUUUCUUUCUCCUCCUCCUCUUGUUCUUGAUAAAUUGAUGUUAUAACUGAAGGCCCAGCGAUUAUCUUUGAGCAUGAGGGAAAUGCCACGGGAUCACAUUGAUCUCAGCCUAAACGUUCUUGUUUGUACCACUCUAUCUGUUCUGGCCUGUUCCCAUAGAUCUCAUGUGACUAAAAAUCUAAACCAUUUUGUUGUUGUUGUUACAUGUUGCCAAACAUAUUUCAAAAAUGGCAUGGAAAUAUAAUGUUAUGCAUUUAUGUGUAUAGAUCAGAAAAUGGAGGCUGAUUUGUUUUAUGGCCAAAUAAUUGGUACAGUGCAAAUCCCAACUGAGAAAUUAAGAAAAGAAAAAAAUCAGCCCAAUAUACUUAGAAGACAAAAGAAACUCAUAUCUAUGUGAGAUAAGGAAUUUGUUACCUUUAAAUCUGACCUGUUUAUAAAACAAAACUCUGAUUUCCACCACUUUCCUGCUCUGUUUUCACUUGCUUUUUUAAAGAUAGAAUUACAUACCAGGAAUUCUUGACAUAUCUAGUAGUUGAAGAAUAGCUAGUUGGUGAUGUGUAAAACCCUAACUUUCCCAAUAAUAUGUCUGAUCUCCCUUCUCUUGCACCAUUUAUGCUUCUUCAAACUUACCAAAAGCUUGCAUGCUACUUAUAAUUUUCUUAUAUAAGUCUUUCUUGUGUUUCAGAAUCAUAUUAUUCAUUAUCAUGCCCUCGUUUAAGCAUUACUUUCUUGGGAAAACCUUUUCAGAUCUACCCCAGUUUAUACAUCUCUCUUAUGGGAGCUAUUACCAUAUGUUUCUUUUAAAUUAGUUGUGAAGAUGUUAACCCUGGACUUCUUAAAUGUCUAAUUCAAGUCCUUAUAAUUAUUUCAUGACACCAAUACUGAC
rnacentral:lncRNA from 10 species